rnacentral:rRNA from 1 species
AUUGAACGCUGGCGGCAUGCUUUACACAUGCAGGUCGAACGGUAACAGGCCGCAAGGUGCUGACGAGUGGCGAACGGGUGAGUAAUGCAUCGGAACGUGCCCAGUCGUGGGGGAUAACUACUCGAAAGAGUAGCUAAUACCGCAUACGAUCUAUGGAUGAAAGCGGGGGACCGUAAGGCCUCGCGCGAUUGGAGCGGCCGAUGUCAGAUUAGGUAGUUGGUGGGGUAAAGGCUCACCAAGCCAACGAUCUGUAGCUGUUCUGAGAGGACGACCAGCCACACGGGGACUGAGACACGGCCCAGACUCCUACGGGAGGCAGCAGUGGGGAAUUUUGGACAAUGGGCGCAAGCCUGAUCCAGCAAUGCCGCGUGCAGGAAGAAGGCCUUCGGGUUGUAAACUGCUUUUGUACGGAACGAAACGGCUCUGGUUAAUACCCGGGGCUAAUGACGGUACCGUAAGAAUAAGCACCGGCUAACUACGUG